AGAUUGAACGCUGGCGGCAUGCCUUACACAUGCAAGUCGAACGGCAGCACGGGGGCAACCUUGGUGGCGAGUGGCGAACGGGUGAGUAAUAUAUCGGAACGUGCCCUGGAGUGGGGGAUAACUAGUCGAAAGAUUAGCUAAUACCGCAUACGAUCUACGGAUGAAAGUGGGGGACCGCAAGGCCUCACGCUCCGGGAGCGGCCGAUAUCUGAUUAGCUAGUUGGUGGGGUAAAAGCCUUUACCAAGGCAACGAUCAGUAGCUGGUCUGGGAGGACGACCAGCCACACUGGGACUGAGACACGACCCAGACUCCUACGGGAGGCAGCAGGUGGGUAAUUUAGGACAAGUGGGGAAACCCUGAUCCAGCAAUGCCGCGUGUGU
rnacentral:rRNA from 1 species